rnacentral:rRNA from 1 species
AGAGUUUGAUCAUGGCUCAGAUUGAACGCUGGCGGCAUGCCUAACACAUGCAAGUCGAACGGAAACAGGACGCUGUGAUCUCUUCGGAGUGAGCUUGUCGCUGUCGAGUGGCGGACGGGUGAGUAAUGCAUAGGAAUCUGCCUUGAAGUGGGGGAUAGCCCGGAGAAAUCCGGAUUAAUACCGCAUGUGCUCUACGGAGCAAAGCGGGCCUCUGUUUCAAGCUCGCGCUUGAGGAUGAGCCUACGUCGGAUUAGCUAGUUGGUGGGGUAAAGGCCUACCAAGGCGACGAUCCGUAGCUGGUCUGAGAGGAUGACCAGCCACACUGGGACUGAGACACGGCCCAGACUCCUACGGGAGGCAGCAGUGGGGAAUAUUGGACAAUGGGCGCAAGCCUGAUCCAGCAAUGCCGCGUGUGUGAAGAAGGCCUGCGGGUUGUAAAGCACUUUUAUCGGGAAAGAAAAUCACAGGGUUAAUACCUCUGUGCCUUGACGGUACCCGAAGAAUAAGCACCG